UACGUAGGGCGCGAGCGUUGUCCGGAAUUAUUGGGCGUAAAGAGCUCGUAGGCGGCCUGUCGCGUCGGUUGUGAAAGCCCGGGGCUCAACCCCGGGUCUGCAGUCGAUACGGGCAGGCUAGAGUUCGGUAGGGGAGAUCGGAAUUCCUGGUGUAGCGGUGGAAUGCGCAGAUAUCAGGAGGAACACCGAUGGCGAAGGCAGGUCACUGGGCCGCAACUGACGCUGAGGAGCGAAAGCAUGGGGAGCGAACAGG
rnacentral:rRNA from 1 species